CACACUUGUGUUUCUUCUUCUUCUUCUUCUUCUUCCUCAUCUGGCUGAAUGUGAUUGGACGAGGGUUUGUGCCUGAUUGCGGUUAAUUCUGUGCUUAAUGGGAACACAAGGAUCUGUGUCAUGCUGGAUUUGUGAUGAUGAGGCUGAUGAUGAUGAUGGGAAUGAUGAGGAUGGUGGUGAUGAUGAGGAUGAUGUUUAGUAUUAGGGUGAUGAUGAUGAUGAUGAUGAGGAUGAUGUUUAGUAUUAGGGUGAUGAUGAUGAUGGUGAUGAUGAUGGUAGUGAUGAAGAUGAUGAGGAUGAUGUUUAGUAUUAGGGUGAUGAUGAGGCUGAUGAGGAUGAUGGGAAUGAUGAGGAUGGUGGUGAUGAAGAUGAUGAGGAUGAUGUUUAGUAUUAGGGUGAUGAUGAUGAUGAUGAUGAUGUUUAGUAUUAGGGUGAUGAUGAUGAUGGUGAUGAUGAUGGUAGUGAUGAAGAUGAUGAGGAUGAUGUUUAGUAUUAGGGUGAUGAUGAUGAUGAUGAUGAUGAUGAUGUGAAUGAUGAGUCCAGUUAUGAUUCAAACAUUUCCAACAUCUCCAGUGUUGUAAAGAGUCAAAAUGUAUUUAAAUAAACCCAGAAGUUCUCAUUUUGAAAAUUAAAAAACGUUUUUAAUCUCACGAGAUAAUCCGCUUCCAUCAUAUUUGUUGGUAUUCGGCCUUAAUCCCCUUUAAUGUUUGUUCUUUUCUCCCAGUCAAAUAAAUCCUUUGUUGUUUCAUUUGAAUGACAGCUCCUAAAGACACGCCCCUUUGUGGGUUGUGUUAG
ensembl:lncRNA